UCGUCUAACCGAUACAAAGGCAACAUGGCAGCUGGAAGUACGAAACGUGAAUUCGAAGGAAGUGGUGAUACACAGGUAGUUUUCAAGAAAAAGAAGGACAAAUGUCGAGUCGAUAAUUGUUUUGCAGAAAUGGGCCAUAUUCAUAAAGUUGUUACAAGAAAUUUGCUCCAAGACGUGGCAAUGGAAAUGCGCAGUUUUGUUGACCAGGGCUGUUCUACAUUCAUCAAGAUUAACCGUCUAACCUUAUUGAAUUCGAACGCGAUAGAUGGGUCUUCCUUUUCAAAAGCUUUCUGUAGAAUAUCAGAAAACGAUGACGAGCAUUCUUUCGCGUGCCUGUUCAAAAAAGGAUUGCAUAUUUUAAUGACAUACAUGGAAAGAAAAGAGAUGCCUGUAAAUGAACAAGAAAGCCUCGUCUUGGACACCCUUCUACACUACCUUUUCGAGAUGAAAAAUGCAGAGACAAAAGCUCCUUUUGGAGUUUUAGGAAACCUGGGUGAAACAGACAUCACCAUCAUUCUGACGAAUCACUUAUUCGGGAAACUCUGUACAUCAUCACACUUCCUCAUUGAUAAACAGUUUAAAGGGAAAAGUAAAGCCAAGGAGUCUUGUCCAUGUUCUAAUACAGAAUGCAAAAUGACAGGCAGUUUCGGAGACACUGGAAUAGACAUGGGCCAACCUGUGUGCGAUGCUAAGAAACCAUACUAAAACACGGUGCUGUUCCAGAUAUGGGCCAACCUGUGUGCGAUGCUAAGAAACCAUACUAAAACAUGGUGCUGUUCCAGACAUGGGCCUAUAUAUCUAGCUACCUGUGUGCGAUGCUAAGAAACCAUACUAAAACACGGUGCUGUUCCAGACAUGGGCCUAUAUAUCUAGCUACCUGUGUGCGAUGCUAAGAAACCAUACUAAAACACGGUGCUGUUCCAGACAUGGGCCUACCUGUGUGCGAUGCUAAGAAACCAUACUAAAACAUGGUGCUGUUCCAGACAUGGGCCUAUAUAUCUAGCUACCUGUGUGCGAUGCUAAGAAACCAAGCUAAAACACGGUGCUGUUCCAGACAUGGGCCUACCUGUGUGCGAUGCUAAGAAACCAUACUAAAAGACGGUGCUGUUCCAGACAUGGGCCUACCUGUGUGCGAUGCUAAGAAACCAUACUAAAAGACGGUGCUGUUCCAGACAUGGGCCUACCUGUGUGCGAUGCUAAGAAACCAUACUGUCUGUGGUGCUUUUGUGAAAUGAUGGAAAGCAAAAGAAACCCUUCAGUUUGGCAUGGAAACCUGGAUGUCAUCGUCAACAAUCAAGUUGUAGUAGAAGCUUUGGAAGACGAGCCCGACUCUGACAGUCCUGGGAGGACACCAAUGGAAGUGAAAUCAACUUAUCUUUCAAGAAAUCCCCAGAUCAUAGCUGAAACUAUUGUUUUUUCCUUUCUUCAAAAGAAAAGACACCCAGAAUAUAGCCAUUUUCUGUUUCCUUGUAUUGGGGUCAAUAGCAAAGAUAUGGUGGUGUAUUUUUAUGAUUCUAAGAAUGAUGUUUUGCUUGAAAGUUCACCUAUUUCAAUGUAUACAAUAUCAGGAGGUGUCAAUUUACUGGCAAUCGUUGUGUCUUGGUUGGUUGUGAAUCACAAAUAUCUUUGUGAUGGCUUAACAGAGGGUCUGAAGAAAGAAACAUCUGGAUUCUUUCACCAAGCUGAGAAAGUGCUUCCCAUUUAUAAGAAUGAAUUACAGUUUGGAGAUGUAGGGAUUUCUUGUCCCAAACCAAAACAUCAAUUCAAUUUUGUGGAUGAUCCAUCAAGAGAUGUAUUGAAGAAAGACUGGCUUAGAAUUUUAAAUGUAGUAUUCAAGAAAUAAAUGAUUUUGGUAUAAUGGAGUGAAGUCUCUGAAGUGACAUUUUGGUCUGAAGCAUUCUCAAGUGAAUUUAAAACUUCUCAAAUUCUAUUAGUGGGAUUCAGCUUACUUAAAAUUAUCCCGAGAUGGUCCUGACCAUUUGUAAUUCUGGUCAGUCAGAAAUCAAAGAUGGCUGCCAUCUUGAAAGAAACAUUUUAAACCCCUUCUCCAGUUUUACUUGUGCUAUUGAGCUGAAAAUUGAUGAGAAUGUUAAAAAAAAGCUCAAAUGGUUAAGUUAUGUAACAUGAUUGCACAAUCAUCUUUUUCCUAAACAAUUAGAAUUCUUCUCAAGAUCCACCAGAUGGAUUCAAAUUUUCUUGAAAUGAUUCCCAAUGGUCACUUUCUUUAGAACCACAGUUUGAUCUUUUUAGCCUAAGUCUAAGGUCCAUGACAAAUUUGAUCUCUGGCAAUGGCCCUUGACAUGAUUAAACUAAUACAACUUAUCUUAUAAGCUAUAUUAAUAUAUGGAGAUACAGUAUGGCAGGAUACGCAUGUAUUUUUCUCUUCCUACUUGUAAUUGCUUUUGAAUUCCUAAUAUCAAAUAAAACCUGAACCUCGGAGUUAUGAGCAAAUAGUUUCUUUAUUAGUCCCGUGCCUGGGACUAUACAUUGAUAAGCAGUAACACGGAUGUUUUUGGUCAGCACUCUAGCAGCUUCAUUCCUUUAGUGAUAAAACUUCACACAUUGAUAACGGACCAUUAUGUCUUACAUAAGCUCGAGUUUCACAAUUGUUCAGUAAAGGUCAAGGGAGUCAUUAAUAUUUUUAGAAAAUGCUAGUUUCUUUUAAAAUCGUUACAGUGUAAUAAUCAGCAGGGCCAGUCAGGGACAUAUUUUCCUUUUACAAUACUCUGUAUGCCUAUUAAUUAAUGGGUAGGAUAUAUAGCUAAAUAACAAGCUUAAAGGCCUUGCUUGAAGGUCAGUAAUCUAGUUGGCUUUGAGAUGUUUUUGGAACCAAAAUGAUAAAUUCAUUCAAAGAUAUCAUGAUUAUAGUAUUGUCACCAAUUGAAUAUAGAUCAUACUCUACAUUAUUACUAUACAACAUUACCUUCAUAAAUAGUUGUCAUUCUAUCAUAAUAUACCAAAUAUGCUAAUUUCGGAUGACAUCUGAUUUCAACGUGAUUAAGUUUUUUUGUGAAUUCAGUACUAAGAGAGACAUUUUUGUACAUAUAACUAGAUAUAUUGGCCUUGAGAAUGAACUGUUCAUGUCUACAGUUGGUGUAUUGUUUUUUACUGCUAUCUUAUUGAAACGUUUUCAGUAAAACCUCUUUAUUUAGACCAUUUGGUGGUUUGAUUACAUGUACCAAGGUUGACCAGAUCGACCAUCAAGAGCCAGGGUACCUCUGUAUGAUACUCUUGUGUUAUUAGGUAUUAUGUUAUUACCACUCGCAUGAAUAACAACAAAGGCAUAUGUUUUGUUAAAUGAAUAUUUUGAUAAAUACAUAAAUGUAAUGCAUGUUUUGUGUUAUACUUUAAUUACUCUCAAAACAUACUUAUUUCUUACAUUGAUGACAUGGUCAGUAAAUAUUCAUUUCAAACCAUUUUCAUAAUACAUGUAGAUCAUUUUGGCAAGUACAUGUACACUCAAAUUGUAAGCAUCACAGUUAAAAUCUUGAUGUGUGUUUGUUUGAUACAAGUUCAUAUGAAUUUUCAAGAAUAAAAACAGUUAAUUUUCA